GCUUGCUUUCUUUGCCGGCGACCGGCGCACGGGUGAGUAACACGUAUCCAACCUGCCCUUUACUCGGGGAUAGCCUUUCGAAAGAAAGAUUAAUACCCGAUGGCAUAAUGAUUCCGCAUGGUUUCAUUAUUAAAGGAUUCCGGUAAAGGAUGGGGAUGCGUUCCAUUAGGUUGUUGGUGAGGUAACGGCCCACCAAGCCUUCGAUGGAUAGGGGUUCCGAGAGGAAGGUCCCCCACAUUGGAACUGAGACACGGUCCAAACUCCUACGGGAGGCAGCAUG
rnacentral:rRNA from 1 species